GACGAACGCUGGCGGCGUGCUUAACACAUUCAAGUCGAACGGAAAGGCCAUGCAUUUGUGGGGUGCUCGAGUGGCGAACGGGUUAGUAACACGUGAGUAACCUGCCCUUGACUUUGGGAUAACUUCAGGAAACUCGGGCUAAUAUCGGAUAGGAGCUCCUGCUGCAUGGUGGGCGUUGGAAAGUUUCGGCGGUUGGGGAUGGACUCCAGGCUUAUCCGCUUGUUGGUGGGGUAGUGGAUUACCAAGGUGUCGACGGAUAGCCGGCCUGAAAGGGUGACCGGGAACAUUGAGAAUGAGAAGCGACAAAGACCUCAACAGAAAACAAGAGUGGAGAAUAGUGCGAAAUAAACGGAAGCCAGAUGCAGAAACGCCUCGGGAGGGAUGACGCCCUUCUGGGUUUGAACAGCUUUCGAGUGUGAAGAAGUAAGAGUGACGGUAAUUGGUAAUGAAGACCCGGCUAACUACGUG
rnacentral:rRNA from 1 species